GAUUGCGCAGCAAAGUUUGAGAGAAGAGAUGCCAGCCGAUCCAAAUCCAGGUGUAAUAUGUGUGCGUGCAUCCUGUAAAACCACACCUAUUACAUGCGCCAUAGCACAGUAAAGUCAUCAAAGAAA